CAGUUCCUUAAAACAUUAAAAAUAGAGCUACCAUAUGACUUGAUAAUUACAAGUCAAGAACCCCAAAGAUAUGCUCACCCAAAAACUUGUAUAUGAUUGUUCAUGAUAGUAGCAUUAUUCACAAUAGCCAAUGGAUAUUAUUCAACUAUAAAAAAGGAGGGAAAUCCUACCAUUUGCACAAUAUUUCAUAGAAUCUAGGGGGGCCAGUUAGAGUACUGAACUCUCUGAUCUCACGUUGGCACCUUGCAUAGGUUCCUGUCUUGGUGGGAAAGGCCAUGGAACAAGAAGGAACAGACAUGGGUUUGAUUCCUGCUGGCAGGUGAAUAAAUAUGUGAAAAACUUCCUGAGAGGGCUCUACAUCUCACAAUGGAAAAUGCUUUCAGAACUUCACGUCUGUGUAGAUGCAUCACCAGAAGAUUGGAGCUCAUAUGCCUAAAUUUGAGGAUCAUAAAGGUAAUAUGACUUGCCCAAGGUCACAGAGCUCAUCUGUGGUAGGCCCAAGAUUUUUGUAGUUCAGAGCCAAUGUUCUUACCACUGCUGCCUGCAAACUGAGUGAAAGAAGACAUUCAGAAGGUGGCCCAUAUGCAAAUUUCAUCUUCCCAGGUCAUUCUAACUGACUGUGAUAUUUCCCAGUGUUAAUAAUUUUAGCUCUUAUUCUCUGUACAACACAUAAUUUUGUGGUCUUUUCCUGUCUCACAUAAUUGUUGCAUACCAAGAUUUAUAAACUCCAUCCUUUAAGGAGUGGGAGCCAGGUUCUCUACCAUUUUGUAUUCCCACUACCACUGUACCUAGCAACAUAUGUGCAUGUAAAAGGCAUCAAUAAGUAUUCAUAAAUUUGUCAACAUUAGUCCUAUUGUGAAUUUAUUAUAGCAAGUCAAAGAUAGAUAAAGGCAUAGACAAAUCCCACAAUGAAGCAUUAAAGCUAAAAAAGGACAUUCCCUUCAUCAACUUUUUCAAGUUGCCUUUUUAAAUAAUGCAGAUCAAUUAAUCCACAACUUCACGUUUUUUUCUUAGCCAGACAGCUGACUGGUAUUGUGGUCACAGAACAUAUUAAAGCCAACUGGCCUACUCCAUGAUGAAGUGUCACGGUUUAAUCUGGCUGCAGAUAAGAAACACCUGGGGAGCUUUUUAACUGUAUACAUGCUUGUGCUCCUUUCCCAAUUAUUCUGACUUAAUUGUUUGUGGGGUGGGGGAACCUCAUCUUAGUAUGAUUUUAAAACUCUCUAAUUGAUUUUAAUGUGCUGCCUGGUUUGAGAACCACUAGCCAAACUGAAAGAACAUUCCAGAAAAAAUAAAGAUCUGUGUUUUUUCAUUGUCUAGUUCUUUGGGACAGCAAGCAAAGUUGAUGGGGAAGGAAAAUAACAAGGAAAGUAGCAGGACUAUGCAACUUGGCAUGUGAUUGGAAUGUGGCAAACUAUUAAAAAAUAUUUGUAAACCUCAAAAAUUUUGUGCACCUAUUGACAAAGUGUUUUAAACAACUGUUUCUCCUCUAAUGUUGAAGUUUAAAGGCCCCCAACAACUUUGAAAAUAUGGGAGUAUUUGGUGAAGCAUUCCAAAUAAAAUGACCCUCAGCUCUGGAAUUUGCUCCUUCUAGCAGGCUGUUCUCUUUAGCAGUCAGCCAAACCAAAAAUUUAGCAGUUUUUGGAAUAUGGUGCAAAAUAGAUUCUUUUUAAACCUGAGAGUCACUGAAGAUUUAUUUUACUGGAAAGAUACAACUUUUAACAAUAAAGUGAUUAUUGCUACUAUGUAAAAUCAAAGAACUGGAAGAGUGACUCUGAAAUUCAAAGCAUCCAUCUUUCCUUAUUCUACUAAUGAAGAAAGAGUGGCUCAAGGGAUGAAAUGACUUUAAGUCACACAGUCUGAUGGCAGGCCCUGGGCACAUCCUGAUCUCCUGACUCACAGGCCAGUUCUCAUGUUUGUCCUGUCACAGCCAGAGAGUCCUCUGGGAAUGGCAUGGAUGAUUUCUUCUGUGAAUCUAAAUUAGUUAUUAAUAAGUGCAAUGAUCUUACAAAUACUUAUGUAUGUACUGUUUCUGUAAUGUAGCAAAUAGCAUGUAAAUAACACGGUAAUUUUUGGAGUGCA